rnacentral:rRNA from 1 species
AACGAACGCUGGCGGCAUGCCUAACACAUGCAAGUCGAACGAGACCUUCGGGUCUAGUGGCGCACGGGUGCGUAACGCGUGGGAACCUGCCCUUAGGUUCGGAAUAACUCCCCGAAAGGGGUGCUAAUACCGGAUAUUGUCUUCGGACCAAAGAUUUAUCGCCUUUGGAUGGGCCCGCGUUGGAUUAGCUAGUUGGUAGGGUAAAAGCCUACCAAGGCGACGAUCCAUAGCUGGUCUGAGAGGAUGAUCAGCCACACUGGGACUGAGACACGGCCCAGACUCCUACGGGAGGCAGCAGUGGGGAAUAUUGGACAAUGGGCGAAAGCCUGAUCCAGCAAUGCCGCGGGAGUGAUGAAGGCCUUAGGGUGGUAAAGCUCUUUUACCCGGGAUGAUAAUGACAGUACCGGGAGAAUAAGCUCCGGCUAACUCCGU